AGAUGAAGGUAGCAUGGUUAUGUGCACAGAAAUUAAUUUUCAGUUUGGUCUACAUAUCUGCUCUUGAUGAUUUCUGAUUUGAGGGUCUGGUUAUGACCUACAUAU